GCCGAGGUAGCUCAAUGGCAGAGCAAAGGUUUUGUAAACCUUAGGUUGGGGGUUCGACUCCUCUCCUCGGCU
rnacentral:tRNA from 1 species